rnacentral:rRNA from 1 species
CGGGUGAGUAAUGUAUGGGGAUCUGCCUGAUGGCGGGGGAUAACUACUGGAAACGGUAGCUAAUACCGCAUAAUGUCUGCGGACCAAAGUGGGGGGACCUCCGGGCCUCGCGCCAUCAGAUGAACCCAUAUGGGAUUAGCUAGUAGGUAAGGUAACGGCUUACCUAGGCGACGAUCCCUAGCUGGUCUGAGAGGAUGAUCAGCCACACUGGGACUGAGACACGGCCCAG